GUGGGCGGGGAAGGAUGAAUGUUAGUUCGAUGGGUUUGAUAUUGGCUGAGUUUGCAAUAGCAGGUGGAACCUUAACUGUUGAGGGAGUUUGCAGAUACCUCAGGAUUCCUGACAAUGCCUUUAAAGAUCCAGGAGAGAUGUUCAGCUACUAGGAACUGCUAGCAAGUAUAGCGCGAAUGGCUCCGAGCUCAGACACUCUACAGCUGAGAGUAGACACUUGUGGUAUGUGGAGUACAGAUAAGCCAGGGGCAGGCCACGACAUGCUCCAUGAAAGCUAGGAGGGAGUGAAGUUUCAGUGACCAUCGCAAGGAAGGAGGCAGACAAGAGUAAGGCACACACCUGACUCUUAGGACUAGCAGUCAGAACCAGGAGGAAAGGUUUUAUUGCUAUGCUGGUAGGUAAGAACAGAUUUUACUUACAUCCAUAUAGUUAUCUAAAAUCCAGUUUUCUGUUAAAUGUUUCUUAAUGUAUUGAGCCAAAAAAAAACUAGUCCAGUUAAGCUGAACUUGGUUUUUCUGGAGUUGAAUUGUAAAUGAUGCCCUAGUUUUGGUGGCUCCCAAUUGAAGGAAGUGAGCACUGUAAUUAAAUUACUUAAUCCUGUGAUAUAUAUUUUUGCCCUUUAAUUUUGAUUAAUUUUUAUCUUUGCACCCAUUUUCUUAAAAUAACGGCUCAAAGUAAUGCAUUACAAUCUUUUCCCCAAAAUGAUUGUGGGGGGGGCAGGGGGGCUAUUAAUGGGUGGUGGGUGGCUUAGCUUGAGAUGGGAUUUGGUCCAGAAGAAAAGCUCAUUCUAAAGAUUGUUUACUUUUCUAGGGAAGAAUCUGCUACUACAGACUUUUCUGCUCUCUAAAAAAAAAAAAAUCUAAUCUGUCCAAGCUAAAAGGAACAUCCUUAUGAGUAUGAGGACAACCUUUAUCUGAGCCACUGUGCCUUUCAUUUCUCAACUGCCAUGCAGUUCACAUUAGCUGCUGUGCGGUUAAAAUCAUUCAAUUUUGUGAAUGGAUUUUUUAAUAAAUUGUGUUUAGUUUUGUUCCAUC